CACUCCUGCGGGAGGCAGCAGUGGGGAAUAUUGCACAAUGGGCGCAAGCCUGAUGCAGCCAUGCCGCGUGUAUGAAGAAGGCCUUCGGGUUGUAAAGUACUUUCAGCGGGGAGGAAGGCAAUACGGUUAAUAACCGUGUUGAUUGACGUUACCCGCAGAAGAAGCACCGGCUAACUCCGUGCCAGCAGCCGCGGUAAUACGGAGGGUGCAAGCGUUAAUCGGAAUUACUGGGCGUAAAGCGCACGCAGGCGGUCUGUCAAGUCGGAUGUGAAAUCCCCGGGCUCAACCUGGGAACUGCAUUCGAAACUGGCAGGCUUGAGUCUUGUAGAGGGGGGUAGAAUUCCAGGUGUAGCGGUGAAAUGCGUAGAGAUCUGGAGGAAUACCGGUGGCGAAGGCGGCCCCCUGGACAAAGACUGACGCUCAGGUGCGAAAGCGUGGGGAGCAAACAGGAUUAGAUACCCGGGUAGUCCCAUGA
rnacentral:rRNA from 1 species